ensembl:snRNA U2 U2 spliceosomal RNA
AUCACUUCUCGGCCUUUUGGCUAAGAUCAAGUGUAGUAUCAAAUAUAAAGUAUGUGUCCAUGAAGAACGUUU